rnacentral:rRNA from 1 species
GACGAACGCUGGCGGCGUGCUUAAUACAUGCAAGUCGAACGGAAAGGCCCUGCUUUUGUGGGGUGCUCGAGUGGCGAACGGGUGAGUAACACGUGAGUAACCUGCCCUUGACUUUGGGAUAACUUCAGGAAACUGGGGCUAAUACCGGAUAGGAGCUCCUGCUGCAUGGUGUGUGUUGGAAAGUUUCGGCGGUUGGGGAUGGACUCGCGGCUUAUCAGCUUGUUGGUGGGGUAGUGGCUUACCAAGGCGUUGACGGGUAGCCGGACUGAGAGGGUGACAGGCCACAUUGGGACUGAGGUGCGGGCAAGAGUCAUACGGGAGGCAUCGGUGGAGAAUAGUGCACGAUAGGCGGAAGCCUGAUGCAGCAACGCCGCGUGCGGGAUGACGGCCUUCAGGUUGUAACCCGCGUGAGAGUGUAACGAAGAGUGAGUGACGGUAAUGGGUAAAGAAGCACCGGCUAACUACGUG